GGCCUUGGCUCCUGUUCUGGUCUGGGCUUGCGCGAGACAAAGGUGGCUGCCGCGAUCAGAGGCUGCGGGAACGGCGCGCCCAAAGCCAGAGGAACUGGAUGGAGGAGUUGAGGAGAUUAAAACAAAUUUUAAUCCCGAAGCAGAAUAACUCAAAGCUCAAACGCUUCCUCUCCGCCAGCUGUUGGGAGAUCCACUGAACCCAUUCUUCUCCAGUUUCCCAAGAUCUCCCGUCAAACUGGUUUGACAAAAGGAACAAAAUCUAGGUGAGGCUUGAAACGCAGAACCGGCUGGGAGGGAAGAAGGACCGGAAAGGCGAGAGGAAGGAUCCAAAGGAUCUGAUUGGAAUCAAAGUAUAAGCCAAGACUGGCUGAAUCCGUAUCUCCAUUGCUGCUCUUUCCCACCCCCCUCCUUCUCCUCUUCAUCUCAACCGGAAUCCAAGAUGGAGACCCCGCUUGAAGAAGCUUUAGGCGUGAUGGUGGAAACCUUUUACAAAUAUUCGGCCAAGGAAGGAGACAGGUACAAACUCAGCAGAAAAGAGAUGAGGGAGCUGCUUCUGGCGGAAAUGCCCAAUUUUGUCAAGGUGAGGCUCCUUUUAUGCAUUUAUUGGGUUGGUCUUGAUGCCCGCCUGGCAAAGCAUCCAA